UCCUCGGUAGUAUACCGGCAAAUACACGCGUAAAAUGUGUGGGCCUCCAUAACAAUUUAUAUCUUCACAGCAUUGAACGCGAGAACGAGGUUCGACUCCUCGUCGAGGAG